GAUACCCUAUUAUUUUGAAUGUAAAUUGAUUGUCUUUAAUUAUUAAUAGUUACGGCCUUUAAAGUUAAAAAAUUUGGCGGUAUUUUAGUCUGUUCAGAGGAACCUGUUCUUUAAUCGAUAAUCCACGAUUACUCUAACUUUGGCUAUUAAAUUUAUAUAUCGUUGUUUACAAAGAUUUUAGCAGAACAAUAAUUUUUAAGGUACAUUAUUAUGUCUUAUUUCAGAUCAAGGUGUAGUUUAUGUUAAAGCUUGAAUGGGUUACAUUGCCUUUAUUUUUGGUCUUCUGGUUCAAAAUUGGGAGUAAAAUGGAUUUGAUAGUAAUUAUUAAAUAUUUACUUAAUGAUUUAGCUCUAAAAUAUGCACACAUCGCC
rnacentral:rRNA from 1 species